rnacentral:lncRNA from 1 species
CGUAUGUGGCAUUUAUUAUGUUAAGACAUUGAACUUCACUUCCUCCUUGGAAGCUAGAUUUGGCCAUGUGAUUAGCUACAGUUAAUGUUUGUAAGUGGAAGCCUUAAAAGUUGAUGUGCAAUUUGCUACACUCCCUUCCCACUGCCAAAUGUUGGUGAAAACGUGUCAAGAUGAUGCCUCUGCCAGCUUGAGUCUUCAUACCCUUCUUCUGACUUGCUUUGGACAUGUAGUAUCAUGGAGAACUAGGAUUUCAAACUGGAUCAUUUUGAGGGUAAAAGGGACAACAGGCACAAUUUGACAAUGUAUGUUCAUCCUAGUGAAACUUGUAAUGUUAAGCCACUGAGACCUGGGGGUUGUUUUUUUACCGCAGCGUAACCUAGCCUAUCUUGAUUGAUAUAUAAAUGCAUGUAUAGAAAUGCUCAAUAACUCAUUCAUAGAAGUGCAACAAAUGACUCAUGUUGCACUAUAACUGUGUGAGGUUGGUAAGAAAAUGGAUUCUAACAUCUAGGCCUAAGGUGAGUCAGCUACAUGGACACUGACAAGUGAGUAACCUGCUGGGAUCAAGAGCUCUUGGCUUCCAAGUGAAGGCUCUUUUUCAGAUCUUUCCAAGGAAAUGUUACCAAGGAGCUACAUUCAGGACAAAAGCUGCUGACAUGAGAAAAGGGUUAGUAUAGCCCAGAAAGACUAGCCUCGGUCUUGUCUGUAUGACCGUAUAUGCUUAAGAGUAUGGCACCAAGUUUUUACCGUGGAGGAGCCUGAGCCAACCUACAGAAUGUUUGAUUUGACCAGCAGAGUAUUGUAGACAAAACAUGAAUUUGCAGCCCUUUCAGUUGAGGAAGCACUCUCAGCUUUGCCACUGCCCUUUGUUUCUUUCUGUCAUUUGAUCCUGCUCUUUUCCACUUCUUCACCUCAGUUGUAUUACCUGCCUGGCUUUUGAAGACAUUUGAGUUUGGACCUCUGCAGGGAACCAUUGUACCUGAGAUGGAAAGCACAGCAGCCCGCAUGGACAGAAACAGGGCACUUCACCUCUGCAGUGUUCCUUCCAUAACCCCAGUCUAAUCAUAAGCAAAAUAAUCAGACAAACCCAGAUUAGGAGACAUCCUACAGGAUACCUGGACAGCAUUCCUAAAGCCUGUCAGGGUCACAAAAAACAAGGAAAGACUGAAGACUGUCAUAGGCCAGAAGCAAAUGGAGAGACAUGGCAACUAAAUGCAAUGUAGUGUCCUGGAUCAGAUACUAGAAUAGUAAGUAACAGGUCAUCAAUAGGAACACUGGUGAAGUCUGAAGAAUGUCUGGAAUUUAGAUAACAGUUACGUACCAAUAAUGGGCUCUUAGUUUUGACAAAUGUACCAUGGUAAUGUAAGACAUUAACAAUGGGAGAAACU